CAAAUGCUUGACAUACCAAACAAAUACCAAGCCAAUAAAUCGAAGUUUUCAUAUACUGUGUGCUUUAGGUAUCUCAUAGUAACUGAUAAAGCAGACAAAAGGUAUAAUAUCUUCGUUAAUCUGAAGUCCUGUGGCGAAAAAAACCCGCAGCGUCACAUAUUUUCGGUUUUAACUGAGCGUGCGCGCUCCCGCGAGGUGGAUGCAAAAUCCGGGUUAAUUUUUUGAAGUGUUCAACGCUGUUGCAGGCAUGUGUUUGGCCAGCUAUGUGGGGCGGGUUGAGCGUGAACCAGGAAGUGCGGGGAUCUCGUGUGUGCGCGCGCGCUGCUCUGUCGUUGCUGGCUAGUCGAAAAAGAAAGUUGACCGGAAGCAGCAGGCAACCUGUCUGUCUGUCUUUCUCUGACGAAGUCAGGCCGCCCCUUACCACGGUUUGGGGUUGAAAAUAGUGACACUUAACACCGCCACGACCGUGGAGAAGUGCCGAAGUAAACGGUUUGUCUUGCAACACCAUCGUUUUCAAUGGCGCCAAUUUAAUUCGGUAUCGAGUCGGCGUUCCAACACCCUGACGGAGAACACUGGAGUUGCCAUGUAACUCAGACGCCGCACAAGCAAUGCUACAAGAUGAAAUGCCGCUUGUCGCUUAACAGCCCGUGGGAUCCCUCUGCAUCCAUCUCAACAUGAGCUCCAAAUGGGAGCGUCAUCUGAUGCCAUAGGUUCUCCAGUGGACAGUUUCACCUAUUGCACGCACAAGACGGCAUUUUCUGGAGCUUCAACCUUUUGCGUCCAUCAGCAGUCUGUCGGCCCCCGGGGAAGGACUCAUGUAAUCGUGUUGGCAGACCAUCAACAACAUGGCGUCGGCAUUCUUCACAGGUAGGAAGACUUGUUCAAGUAAAUGACAUGAUGGCCUUCAUACAUGUAGCACAAUAACACAGGAUAAAUGAAUAGAUGACAAAAGAUAUGCAAUUCAUACACGAGUGCCAUGACUAAUGCUUUGGCUGUAAAGGUUGCUCUGGCUGUUACAGUACAAUGUUAGCCGGCCACAUGGAGGUCAUUAUAAUUGGCCUACAUGUUUUCCCAGCUCUGACAACUACUCUCUUCUUAAUCACCACUUGUACUCUUUGUAAAAGCUUAAGGCUAAACCAACUGUAACACUUGUCUAUACGAGUGGAGCAUCUGUUGACAACAAUGGAAGUAUUAUUUUGCAAUAAUCUAGUCAUGUUAGUACUUACAAAUAAUGUCACACUUUGUAUAAGGAAUGUUUUCCAGUAUUUCCGGGUUACAAUCACUCAGAAUCAGAAUCAGAAUCAGAAAAGGUUUAUUGCCAUGUAUGAUCAAACACAUACUAGGAAUUUGUUUUGGUGUAGUAGGUGCAUACACAUCUAUUAAAAAAGAAUGAGAGAAAAUAUGAAAUACAAAAUAUGAAAAUACAAAAUAUACAGAAUAACAGUAUAAAUAUAUGUACACAGUCUGUUUUUGUUUGUUAUUCCGGAAGUGCAGUCUGAUUGUUUUCCUAAGAGUCCAAACUGAGCGUUAAUGUAACGUAUACAAUGAAAGUGUCAAAGUGUCAAAGUGGCAGGAUGAGGCAGAGGUGGGGUGUGAAGAGUGUCAUGUGGGGUUCCGGGCCUUGUUGAUGAGGCUGACAGCAGACGGGAAGAAACUGUUCUUGUGGCGUGAGGUUUUGUUCCUGAUGGACCGCAGCCUCCUGCCAGAGGGGAGCGUCUCGAAGAGUCUAUGUCUGGGGUGAGAGGGAUCGGCCACAAUCCUUUCUGCACGCCUCAGGGUCCUGGAAGCGUACAGAUCCUGGAGGGACGGGAGAUUGCAGCCAAUCACCUUCUCUGCAGACCGAAUGACACGCUGCAGCCUGCCACUCCACUUGUUGUGUACUUUUUUGGACCUUUAAAUCCAUUUGUUUCUAUCUUUAUUUUCUCUAAAAUAGUAUUUAUAGUAUUUUAAAUGCAUGCAAGUGACAACUAUAUGGCAGAAUUUCCCAAGAAGAUUAGCAGUGCUUAAAAAACACCACUAGAUGGCGGAAAUUCCCAAGUAUAGUUGCAGUAAUUUUAAGUGCCCACCAGAUGGUGUAAUUUCACAGUUUAAGUUGCAGUAAUUUUAAGUGGCCACCAGAUGGCGGAAUUUCACAGUUUAAGUUGCAGUAAUUUUAAAUGGCCACCAGAUGGCGGAAUUUCACAGUUUAAUUUGCAGUAAUUUUAAGUGGCCACCAGAUGGCGGAAUUUCACAGUUUAAGUUGCAGUAAAUUUAAGUGACCACCAGAUGGCGGAAUUUCACAGUUUAAGUUGCAGUAAUUUUAAGUGACCACCAGAUGGCGGAAUUUCACAGUUUGAGUUGCACUACCUUUAGGUGACCACCAGAAGGCGGAAUUUCACAGUUUAAGUUGCAGUAAUUUUAGGUGACCACUAGAUGGCGGAAUUUCCCAAGGUAAGUUGCAGUAAUUUUAAGUGAACACUAGAUGGCGGAAUUUCAAAGUUUUAGUUGCACUACUUUUAGGUGACCACUAGAUGGCGGAAUUUCACAGUUUAAGUUGCACUACUUUUAGGUGACCACUAGAUGGCGGAAUUUCCCAAGGUGAGUUGCAGUAAUUUUAAGUGACCACUAGAUAGUGGCAUAGGGCUAGGGCUACGGUUGGGGC